rnacentral:rRNA from 1 species
UACAGAGGUCUCAAGCGUUGUUCGGAUUCAUUGGGCGUAAAGGGUGCGUAGGCGGCUUUGCAAGUCGGGUGUGAAAUCCCCAGGCUCAACCUGGGAACUGCGUCUGAUACUGGAUGGCUUGAAUCCGGGAGAGGGAUGCAGAAUUCCAGGUGUAGCGGUGAAAUGCGUAGAUAUCUGGAGGAAUACCGGUGGCGAAGGCGGCAUCCUGGACCGGCAUUGACGCUGAGGAGCGAAAGCCAGGGGAGCAAACGGG